rnacentral:rRNA from 1 species
CCUACGGGAGACAGCAGUGAGGAAUAUUGGUCAAUGGGCGCGAGCCUGAACCAGCCAAGUAGCGUGAAGGAUGACUGCCCUACGGGUUGUACACUUCUUUUAUACAGGAAUAAAGUGAGGCACGUGAGCCUUUUUGUAUGUACUUUAUGAAUACGGAUCGGCUAACUCCGUGUCAGCCGCCGCGGAAAUACGGAGGCUCCGAGCGUUAUCCGGAUUUAUUGGGUUUAAAGGGAGCGUAGAUGGGUUGUUAAGUCAGUUUUUAAAGUUUGCGGCUCAACCGUAAAAUUGCAAUUGAUACUGGCAGCCUUGAGUACAGUUGAGGUAGGCGGAAUUCGUGGUGUAGCGGUGUAAUGCUUAGAUAUCACGAAGAACUCCGAUUGCGAAGGCAGCUUACUAAACUGCCACUGACAUUGAUGCUCGAAAGUGUGGGUAUCAAACAGGAUUAGAUACCCCAGUAGUC